UCGGCAAGGAGCCACGGAACGUUAUUUUGACCCUAGUAUUCGCGAAGUACGGGUGUACAAGGCUAUUGUUAGUGACUGAGGUAAUCGGUGGGAAGAUGAUGCCUCGCAUGAAAUUUGCCGAGUGGUGAGGUAUGAAUCGUGGAGACUAACGUUGAUGGGACCAGUUGUGGAGCGAUGAAUUACGUCCGACCUGUGGCAGCCGAGCAGAAGCUGGUGGCAGAUGUUUUUGUUGAGCAAGAUGUGCUACUGAUAGCUGGAUCAUAUCUGGUAAUACCGGAUAGAUUGGCCGGAUCCCUGGGCAGUGGAAGAGGACAGAGAUGCGUCAACUUCACUGUUCGUGAGUUCCACCUGAGCAGCCGUAGGGUGAAGACGUGUCGUCUGGAGUGUCCGGCAGUUUGGGGAGGUUGCAGUUUUUUCGCCGGCAGGGGGUGUGGGGGUCUCUUACCCUCCCUGUCCAGUGUUGUUGCCUGCCUGGCUGCGUGCUGACGUGGCCGUUUUGACAUGGGGGGG